rnacentral:rRNA from 1 species
GACGAACCGUGCGAACGUUGUUCGGAAUCACUGGGCUUAAAGGGCGCGUAGGCGGGUUUUCAAGUCUGCGGUGAAAUCCUCCAGCUUAACUGGAGAAGUGCCGUGGAUACUGGAGACCUCGAGGAGGGUAGGGGCAUCUGGAACAGCCGGUGGAGCGGUGAAAUGCGUUGAUAUCGGCUGGAACUCCGAUGGCGAAAGCAAGGUGCUGGACCCUAUCUGACGCUGAUGCGCGAAAGCCAGGGGAGCGAACGGG